rnacentral:rRNA from 1 species
UACGUAGGUGGCAAGCGUUGUCCGGAUUUACUGGGCGUAAAGAGCGCGCAGGCGGUCGGAUAAGUCGAAUGUGAAAGCCCCCGGCUCAACUGGGGAGGGUCACGCGAUACUGAUCGACUGGAAGGCAGGAGAGGGUAGUGGAAUUCCUGGUGUAGCGGUGAAAUGCGCAGAUAUCAGGAGGAACACCAGCGGCGAAGGCGCUGCUCUGGGCCGGUACUGACGCUGAGGAGCGAAAGCGUGGGGAGCGAACAGG